ensembl:lncRNA
UGCGUUUACUAAAUUUUCACAGAGCACUUGCUCUAAGCAAGCAGCAGCGUGGUUUCGGUGCCGCGAGAGCGGGGGUGGAGCGGCUGUGGAAGCCUCUUCGUGGUGGCGUGUGCAGUGCAGAGGGGGACGGGUGGCGCACCAGAUGCACUUGGUCAGGUAGAGGAGGAGAGGGACAAGCACUGGCGGGCACCGUGAGGGAAGGGGAAGGGGUCAGGUGCCCAGGAAAGCGGCUCCGAGGAGCCGUGGGCCCCUGUGUCCCUGUCUCCCGGGUCCAGUCCGGGGGGGGGGGGGGAGAUGACGCUGGCUCGGCCUCCGGUUGCUGCAUGUGCAUCGCUGCCCUGCAUCUGGCCGGGAGAGCGGUCGCCCUCGAUCCCCUGCCUAAGGCAGAGCGGGGAAGCUACUGUCUCUCCUGCGAGGACUGGGCUGCUGGGGGCUCCUCUGGGUGCAGGGCACUGUGAUGUGUGAGCCCCUUGCCCGAAUCAGGCCCUCAAUGUUACUCACACUGGGAAGCUUUCUCAAGCGUCGUGAAGGACGGAGGAUUCAGACCCAAUUUAGCUAUUGUGUAGGACACUGGGAAUGUUUGGGCUGCUGCUGGACACACGGGGCUUGCUGCUGAAAGUUCUGUGUUCAGGGAGAAAUUUCCUAUGGGAGGAGUGAGGGACGUGAGGUGCUUGACAAGUAGCCUGAUUCAGGUGGAGCGGAAGUUAGGCAAGUUUGAGACAGCGCUGCUGGUGAUGAGGAGGAGGAGAUGUGUGUCUGUGCAUGUGUGUACGUGUGCGUGUGUGAGAGAGAGAUGGCGGGGAGUACCAGGGAGACAGACACCAUGAAUUGUCCCUUCCUGUCUUUAUGACACAAGGUCAGAGGCUGCCUCUAAACCAAGAUGGCGAACCUUUUAGAGCUUUUAAUGACACGCACGGCCAGCUGUGGCUCACGAGCCUGGGUGCCCACCAGGGCCCUGGGGCCGCAUCAGCACUGUGGGUAACAGGCCUCGGGCCUGUCAGUCAGUCGGUAUGAGACAGCUGGGCGAGUCUCAUUUGUGUGGUGACCAGCCGAGCACACUGAUAGCCAUUAGUUCUUUGGGCCCAAGGUCGUGAAAUAGUUACUAUUAUUCACACCUGUCACAAAUGUAGAACCUUAACUAGCAGAGAAGUGUAAUGUCUUGCUGGAAGUCAGGUCUUUGAGAAGGCAAUGCAGGGCUCGAUUCCGGAACUUUCAGGCAACGAAUGUGCACAGUCUCCGUGUGGAGUGGUUCUCAAACCAGGGGACUAACGGAAGGGUGGCCGGCAAUCCCUGGAUCCUGUGAUGCGUGUUCAAGUGGUGCCACAGGCUGCCAGCGCUCAGAGCUGUGCUUUCGUCAUCACUGGAAACAGGCUUCUCUGAAUAUGUGCAAAGAUGAGAAACUUCAGGAGGCUUUGAAGAGCUUGGAGUCACCGUUAGCACAAAGAGAUGGGCAAUUGCGGCUGGCUGUGGUGGUACAGGCUGGAACCCUACCACUGGGGAAGCUGAGGCAGGAGGAUUGGAUGUUGAAGGUCAGCCCAGGCUGUAUUCUAAGAUCGAGGCAGCCUGAAGUACAGAGAGACCCUAUCCUCCCCCAAAAAAGAUGAUCAAAUGAGGCAUACAGUCUUUAAUUAAAAAGUUUGCUGUAAUAGCAUAUUUAAAAUAUAAUAUGCUAUCAUUAUGAUGCGUGAGUGUAAAAUGAUUGGUACUGUAGGCUCACAAAAGUGGUUUAAGUGAUACGAAGCGAUUUGUGGCUUGUUCAAGUAAUUGCUUUGAAGGAUGUGGUGGACAUUUACAUGUAUAAAUGCUGGUGUGAUAUUCAAAACGGUUCUGUUCUUUUUUCACACUGCACUUUCUUUUUUCAAAUUUUUGUUUUUAUUAGUACAAGUUGCAGUGCAUCGUGAUUACACUCAUUGUAGGGAGUUGGUGGAUGCACGUAACACAUCUUCGUGCUCUUUGCUUUCCCUUCGUCUCCCUUCCCUCCUCUCUGGGUCCUCUUCCCAUUUGAGGAAGUUCUGCCUCCCUGCUUCCUAUUAUCUCUCUCGUACUUUGCUCUUUAUUUGUCCUUUGGGUUUCUCAUGUUGGAGAAACCAGGCAGGAUUUAAGCCUGUGCUUCUGACUUAUUUCACUCCACACUAUGGUCUCAAGGUGCAUCCGUUUCCCUACAAAAGACUCGUUUGUCUCGCUUAUGGCAGAGUAGUGCUCUGCCGUGUGUAAAGACCACAUUUUCUUAUCUACUGUUCUGUUGAUGGAUGUAGGCAUUUCUCCUUUCAAAGACAGACGCUGUAUCUAUCAGUUAUAAAGGCAUUCUGAAAUUAAAGCAUGCCAUUUAGAGUGUCCGUACUUAGACCAUUAAGUUACCUUUGUACUGUACUGGAAGAACAACUGCAAUGCCACUUCUGCCAUAGACGUGUGCCUCUCACUGCUACUCCUAGGCAAGGACAAUCGGUCUAGAGGAUGAAGGGCCGCAGUUCCCCCUGUUGAGAUACAAAUGGUGAAGGGGGAUCUGCUCCAGUUGAGCCCAGCCUGGUCACGUGUGCGUGGGUGCGUGUAGGUGGGACAGCCGGCAGCGCCCCUGGGAGUCAGCGCUGUGGCUGGGCAGGGCUCUCGAUGCGGGAGGGCCCCGCUGCUGUCCAGUGUCUGCCUUGGCCAAGGCUCUGCCCGCGACACCACGUUGUCACCCGCUGGACACCCACUCCCGGUCUGAUUAAGCUCCGUACCCAGCCGUUUACCGGGCAGAGGCACAGGGCCUUUCUCCUGCGACCGCCGUCAGAGUCCACUUCCUCUUUCUCCCCCUGCUGUCCACCCUGUCGGGCCUGAAGCCGCCCAUCGGGAGCGCACGCGCCUGCCCAGCCUGGGUUUGGGCCAGGGUUCUAGUGCUUUCCAGAUUUCUUGCACUUUCUAGUGCAAAUGCGUUUCUGGGUCUUCUUUAUGCUUUUUCUCCCCCUCUUCUCUUCUGCUUCCCUCCCUUCACUUUUUGGAGGCAGGAUUUCACUCUGGAGACCAGGCUGGGCUUGAGCUCUCGAUCUUCCACCCCUGCCUCCGGGUGCUGGGAUGAGGUUCGGGAAACCCAGGAGCGUUUGUGUCCGCAGCGGUGGGAAGGACGAUGAGCAUCGUCUUCCGAGCGCAGCUGCCCUUGAAGCUGCUGCUCUGCCGUCUGACCCCUGGGGCGCCUCCCCGCGGGGCCUGCCCGUUGGGUCGCCCUCUGCCCGCGGCUGGGCCGGUCCGCGGCCUCGCACCCCGCCGCGCACGGGUCCUUCCCCGGGCCGGGUCGCACAGCUCCUGCGACACACUUUCAAACCGGCCCCGCCGUCCGUUACGUCUCGAGACCUCUCGUAAUGAAAGUACUCGGUUCAGAACAGGAAUAAUAAUGUGAAGCAAAUGAAAACGAAGGCGUCUAGGCAAGGUUUGCGGUAGAAGGAACAACGUACUGCUAUCUUGUGAAGAAGUGUUGCCAGGGCGACAGGCCUGGAAAUGGGCAAGUGACAGGAAAGGGGAGAGACCAUGUGGUGCAGGCUGGGAUCUGGAGAAGAAAAGAGGAGAAUUAGAGGAAGGUGUAAGAGGUUGCCUUGCUGAGCAGCCUUGCACAAGCAGGGAAUCUGAGACAGACUGCGGGAACAUUUGGGAGCAGCCCUGCUGGAAUGCCAACACAGCAGCUGAAGGGCAAGUCUGGUGCUGUGGGAGAGGGUGACUAUUCUGUCCAGCACUCACCAGGAGCAGAGACCCUGCAGCCAAAAGCUAAGAUAGUCUCAGAUGAACGUGACCAGGGCCAGGCUUUCUGCAUUUGCUGCAGCAGAACAAGUGGCUUGUUCAAUUCAGAAGGACCACUGUCCACACUGUGACUGCUGUCAUCAGUAAUAGCCUGUCCCAUGGCAGCCCUCUCACUUCAGAGAGCAGCUUGGCAAGCUCAGGUCUUCAUUUUCUAGGCCUUUCCAAACACUGUAUCAUGUCAUUUCCAUGUGGAAGGCUGACACUAUUUUUGUUUCAUCUGGAGGCAAUCACUGGCUAAUUGCUCCCCCAAACAGAAGCCAAGAACUUAUGAGAGAAGUCCCCUCUGCCAUAUUUGAAAAUGGGCCAGACAGAAGAUGGGAAGCAAUCACUAGUUGUGUUAUAUCCGAAUUCAUGUCAUCAUGGCUGAAAAGGGAAUUUUAGAGUCAGAUCUUGAAAAAUCUUUUUCUCAUACUUUAG